rnacentral:rRNA from 1 species
UACGAAGGGGGCUAGCGUUGCUCGGAAUCACUGGGCGUAAAGCGCACGUAGGCGGGUCUUUAAGUCAGGGGUGAAAUCCCGGAGCUCAACUCCGGAACUGCCUUUGAUACUGAGGAUCUUGAGUUCGAGAGAGGUGAGUGGAACUGCGAGUGUAGAGGUGAAAUUCGUAGAUAUUCGCAAGAACACCAGUGGCGAAGGCGGCUCACUGGCUCGAUACUGACGCUGAGGUGCGAAAGCGUGGGGAGCAAAC